UACGUAGGGGGCUAGCGUUGUCCGGAAUCAUUGGGCGUAAAGAGCGUGUAGGCGGUCCGGUAAGUCCGCUGUGAAAGUCGGGGGCUCAACCCUCGAAUGCCGGUGGAUACUGUCGGGCUUGAGUGCGGAAGAGGCGAGUGGAAUUCCUGGUGUAGCGGUGAAAUGCGCAGAUAUCAGGAGGAACACCAAUUGCGAAGGCAGCUCGCUGGGACGUUACUGACGCUGAUGCGCGAAAGCGUGGGGAGCAAACAGG
rnacentral:rRNA from 1 species